AUGACCGACGCGGGUCAAAGCACAGUAUCUGUUCUUAUGCGCAUAAUAUAUGAUACGGGUUGUAUUUGAACCCAAUAUAUUAAACUUACUUUUGCAAGUUGCUGGUGUGCUUGAAGCCUGCUUCACCUCCGCCGCGGGUAGGCCCGGUAUUACACUAUCUUCGGGAUUUUUAGCCUAUGGAC